GCUAAUAUAAACUGCAAGGAAGUCUUGAUCAGUAUUUCUGCUUCUGCCAGGCUCCGUGACACUUCAGUGGAAGGACAUUACAUUGCUGGUUCCAUGGAUACACGAGGUCCACGAGAAGGCACAGGACAUGAAGAGAGCUUCAAGGAAUGUGGUUUCGUCUUUCUCCGGGUUUCUACUUGUAUGGAAUAUUGACAGAUAAUAGCAGAAAGCUGUUUCUUCCUGUCUGUGCAGGUCCAUGAUCGGUUGAAUAUGAAGAUGUGGAGGCCCUGCCCAGAGCCCAGAAGUCCAGACAGCCUGGGAGACAAGCAGGAGUUGGAGCCCAAGUAGGAGAGAGAGGAGAAGCCUACUGCAGCCCAGUGUGUCCUUGACCCUAUUCAGGAGGUAAGGACAAGCAGGAG